GACGAACGCUGGCGGCGUGCUUAACACAUGCAAGUCGAACGGAAAGGCCCUGCUUUUGUGGGGUGCUCGAGUGGCGAACGGGGGAGUAACACGUGAGUAACCUGCCCUUGACUUUGGGAUAACUUCAGGAAACUGGGGCUAAUACCGGAUAGGAGCUCCUGCUGCAUGGUGGGGGUUGGUAAGUUUCGGCGGUUGGGGAUGGACUCGCGGCUUAUCAGCUUGUUGGUGGGGUAGUGGCUUACCAAGGCUUUGACGGGUAGCCGGCCUGGGAGGGGGACCGGCCACCAUGGGACUGCGAUACGGCCCAGACUCCUACGGGACGCAGCAGUGGGGAAUAUUGCACAAUGGGCGGAAGCCUGAUGCAGCAACGCCGCGGGCGGGAUGACGGCCUUCUGGUUGAAAACCGCUUUCGCCUGUGACGAAGCGUGAGUGACGGUAAUGGGUAAAGAAGCACCGGCUAACUACGUG
rnacentral:rRNA from 1 species